GGGCUCUUAGCACAGUGGUUAGCGCGCAUGCUUUGCACAGUUGUGUGAUUUGCAUGAGGUCGUGGGUUCAACUCCCACAGAGUCCA